rnacentral:lncRNA from 1 species
GUUCAUAAUUCAGGUAUGCAGAUUUGGAAUAAUGGAAUAUACACAUAAAUUAUUCUUAUCAUACCACGGGUGGGGCCCAUGGCGCGUUGAACAUUCGUCAAACGACUAGUUGGCUAGAGAUAUAUAUGUAAGCAACUAGCGAGUUAUAUACUUAUAUAUACUAAAGACUGUUGUAUAUGUAUGGUUGUUACUUGUCAUUGCUGUCUGAACUAUCUACUUGAUUGUCAUAUAUUAUCUUCUGUAUCGGUUGAUUUGUCUCGGUUUCAGAUAUCCAAUCUGGCGUGUUUGUAGGCUGCGACUGAGACUGCGUGUAGGACUCGAAAAACUCCUUGUUCUCUUUCUCUAACUCAUUCCACACUGCGUAAUGGCACACUGGAGGUGAUGACUGCUUUGAUGUUUGCAUGUU